rnacentral:rRNA from 1 species
CUGGAGGAGAGCAACAGGGAUUGCCCCAGUAACGGCGAGUGAAGCGGCAACAGCUCAAAUUUGAAAUCUGGCCCCCCGGCCCGAGUUGUAAUUUGCAGAGGAUGCUUUUGGUGAGGCACCCACCGAGUCCCCUGGAAUGGGGCGCCAUAGAGGGUGAGAGCCCCGUAUGGUAGGACGCCGAACCUCUGUAAAGCUCCUUCGACGAGUCGAGUAGUUUGGGAAUGCUGCUCUAAAUGGGAGGUAAAUUUCUUCUAAAGCUAAAUACCGGCCAGAGACCGAUAGCGCACAAGUAGAGUGAUCGAAAGAUGAAAAGCACUUUGAAAAGAGGGUUAAAAAGUACGUGAAAUUGUUGAAAGGGAAGCGCUUGUGACCAGACUUGCGCCGGGCGGAUCAUCCAGCGUUCUCGCUGGUGCACUCCGCCCGGUUCAGGCCAGCAUCGGUUUUCGCCGGGGGACAAAGGCUUCGGGAACGUGGCUCCUCUCGGGGAGUGUUAUAGCCCGUUGCGUAAUACCCCGGCGGGGACCGACGACCGCGCUUCGGCAAGGAUGCUGGCGUAAUGGUCAUCAGCGACCCGUCUUGAAACACGGACCGAGGAGUCAAGCAUUAGUGCGAGUGUUUGGGUGUAAAACCCGCACGCGUAAUGAAAGUGAACGUAGGUGAGAGCUUCGGCGCAUCAUCGACCGAUCCUGAUGUUUUCGGAAGGAUUUGAGUAGGAGCAUUAACGCUUGGACCCGAAAGAUGGUGAACUAUACUUGAAUAGGGUGAAGCCAGAGGAAACUCUGGUGGAGGCUCGCAGCGGUUCUGACGUGCAAAUCGAUCGUCAAAUUUGAGUAUAGGGGCGAAAGACUAAUCGAACCUCUAUAUGUCGUCAAA